UACGUAGGAGACGAGCGUUGUCCGGAAUCACUGGGCGUAAAGCGCGUGUAGGCGGGUGAGCAAGUCUGCUGUGAAAACUCCUGGCUUAACCGGGAGAGGUCGGUGGAAACUGCUCGUCUGGAGGACGGUAGAGGCUGGUGGAAUUCCCGGUGUAGUGGUGAAAUGCGUAGAGAUCGGGAGGAACACCUGUGGCGAAGGCGGCCAGCUGGGCCGGACCUGACGCUGAGACGCGAAGGCGUGGGGAGCGAACGGG
rnacentral:rRNA from 1 species